UACGUAGGGCGCAAGCGUUAUCCGGAAUUAUUGGGCGUAAAGAGCUCGUAGGCGGUUUGUCGCGUCUGCCGUGAAAGUCCGGGGCUCAACUCCGGAUCUGCGGUGGGUACGGACAGACUAGAGUGAUGUAGGGGAGACUGGAAUUCCUGGUGUAGCGGUGAAAUGCGCAGAUAUCAGGAGGAACACCAAUGGCGAAGGCAGCUCGCUGGGGACGGUACUGACGCUGAGGCGCGAAAGCGUGGGGAGCAAACAGG
rnacentral:rRNA from 1 species